CCAAUAGCGUAUAUUAAAGUUGUUGCAGUUAAAAAGCUCGUAGUUGAAUUUCGAGACCGGUUUAUUGGUCGUGCUUUUGUACGUACUGGUAUUAUUGGUUUCUCCUUUCUGACGAACUUUGAUGCCAUUAAUUUGGUGUUUUAGGGAAUCAGGACUGUUACUUUGAAAAAAUUAGAGUGUUUAAAGCAGGCUCACGCUUGAAUACAUUAGCAUGGAAUAACGGAAUAGGACGUUUGAUUCUAUUUUGUUGGUUUCUAGGAUCGACGUAAUGAUUAAUAGGGAUAGUUGGGGGCAUUAGUAUUCAAUUGUCAGAGGUGAAAUUCUUGGAUUUAUUGAAGACUAACUACUGCGAAAGCAUUUGCCAAGGAUGUUUUCAUUAAUCAAGAACGAAAGUUAGGGGAUCGAAGACGAUCAGAUACCGUCGUAGUCUUAACCAUAAACUAUGCCGACUAGGGAUCGGAUGAUGUUAAUUUUUUGAUGACUCAUUCGGCGCCUUACG
rnacentral:rRNA from 1 species